ensembl:lncRNA
GUGACACCUGUUACCAACAGCCGGGCCGGCCGCGCCAACGCGGUGGCCAGAGUUUGCGCCGGCUGGAGAGAACAGCAGAAACAAGCUGUGAAUGAGUCUGGAGAGAGCGGCCGAUGCUGAGCCGCCAUGCUUCGCUCCACGGGCCGCCGCUUUCCAGGUUAUGAGCAUGUGUGUAUCUGGCGCCCCACCAAACCCAAGCGCUGCUCGCUGGCAGAGUGUGUGUGUGCCGUGCUAUUCUACAGAUUCAGAGCUGAACGACUGCCGAAGACGAUCGCCAGAUCUACUUGUGUGCUGUGAGACGGAGCUACUGAGUUCUUUAAUCCAGGGAAUCUCAACCAGUGGGUCUGAUGGGUCACAGACGGCAGAUCCUGUGCAGAUCGUCUCUCGGAGUCUCUCUACAGCCCAAACCGCCCAAAACAUCCCCGUGUCGGUCCAAACAUCAUUUUUCAUCUGAGCGUUUGACGCGACGGAGCGCUGCUGUUUGUGUGUACAGUGAUGGAGGGCGGCGAGCGGGCGGCACUGACUCCAGACCAGUGACACUGUCCCACGCUCACAGAGUCUAUUGAUCUGCUCUGGAUGGACGGCUGGAGACAAACACGCGGCUUACAGCCGGUUUAGAGCUGGUUCUACGCCGCUAAACUGAACAAAUCUAGAAUGAACUCAAGCACAGCUCUAAACUUCACAACUGACUGAAUCUAAUUCCCUUUAUAUCUUCCUUUCGAUGCUUUAGUGUUGUAUCUGAAGUCUGUUUAAAAGCUUACGAAGCCCUGUACACCCUUAUGAGACAGAGAUUUACACCGACAUGUCUUAAAGUCGACAUUUCCUUCCUCCUCUUGUGUUCCUGUGUGUUUAUGGCCAGAAUGCAUGUGUGUUAGAAACAAAAUUUAGUUUGUUUUACUCAAAUUUAGUUAGUAUUUAGUUUAUUUAAUGAAUAGUAUUCAUUAUUUUAAAUUAGCUUUUCUUUCUGUAUUUUCAGUUUUAGAAAAUGUAUGUCUUUAUUUCAUUUUUGCUUGCUUUAUGUAUGUACUUUCCCCCUCGCCCCAGUACUUUAUUUCAAGUUUGUUUUCCAUCUAAUGUUUUAUUAUAGCUUUAUUUCAAUUAACAAAAAGGUUUCUAGUAGUUUUAGUUAACAAUAAAAACACUGCUGUCUUUAUUUCAAAUUAUAAUAAUUAUUCAGAAAAUCUUGACUGCUUUGAACAAAUUGAAUCAGUGAGUUAUCUGAUUCAUGAACACAUCAUUCAGACUGCUUUUGUGACUAACUGAUUCACUGAAAAGAUCCAGCUCAAAAGAAUGAUUCAUUGUCUUUGAUUCAGUGAUUCAAGUCUCUUUACUGUCAUUGGUGGUCCGCUGAAUGCAUCCUUGCUUAAUUUCAUUUAAAAGAAAAGACCACAAACUUUUGAACAGUUGUGUAUUU